rnacentral:sRNA from 1 species
UGGGUGGUAAAUUCCAUCUAAAGCUAAAUAUUGGCGAGAGACCGAUAGCGAACAAGUACCGUGAGGGAAAGAUGAAAAGAACUUUGGAAAGAGAGUUAAACAGUACGUGAAAUUGCUGAAAGGGAAACGCUUGAAGUCAGUCGCGUGGGCCGGGGAUCAACCUUGCUUUUGCUGGGCGUACUUUCCGGUUGACGGGUCAGCAUCAAUUUUGACCGUUGGAUAAAGUCCAGGGGAAUGUGGCAUCUUCGGAUGUGUUAUAGCCCUUGGUCGCAUACAACGGUUGGGAUUGAGGAACUCAGCACGCCGCAAGGCCGGGUACUUGUACCACGUUCGUGCUUAGGAUGCUGGCAUAAUGGCUUUAAUCGACC